rnacentral:rRNA from 1 species
GAUGAACGCUGGCGGCGUGCCUAAUACAUGCAAGUCGAGCGAACAGACGAGGAGCUUGCUCCUUUGACGUUAGCGGCGGACGGGUGAGUAACACGUGGGUAACCUACCUAUAAGACUGGGAUAACUUCGGGAAACCGGAGCUAAUACCGGAUAAUAUUUCGAACCGCAUGGUUCGAUAGUGAAAGAUGGCUUUGCUAUCACUUAUAGAUGGACCUGCGCCGUAUUAGCUAGUUGGUAAGGUAACGGCUUACCAAGGCAACGAUACGUAGCCGACCUGAGAGGGUGAUCGGCCACACUGGAACUGAGACACGGUCCAGACUCCUACGGGAGGCAGCAGUAGGGAAUCUUCCGCAAUGGGCGAAAGCCUGACGGAGCAACGCCGCGUGAGUGAUGAAGGUCUUCGGAUCGUAAAACUCUGUUAUUAGGGAAGAACAAACGUGUAAGUAACUGUGCACGUCUUGACGGUACCUAAUCAGAAAGCCCCGGCUAACUACGUG